GUAGUAGAUUAUAUAUCUGCGUAUAUUUAUUGGAACUUCGGUUAUAAAGGUUAAGUUCUCAGCAUGUUUUGUUAAUAUGAGGUAUAUACGAAAGUAUGAAUUAUAAAAGGAUUUGAAAUCUAGUUAAUUUUGUGCCAGCAUCUGCGGUUAAACUUAAAGGUUAAGUAAAAAUUUUUCGGUUAUAAGCUAGGCGAUAAGGAUAUUAAAUGCUUAAAAAUUAUAAGCAAUAAAAGGUGAAAUUAAAUUGUUGUUUUGUAACAAAAAAGAAUUUGUAGUCGAAGCUGAAAAAAUUAAAGUAAAGACUAGGAUUAGAUACCCUAUUAUUAAAAUUAUAAAAUAUAUAUAACCCGGUUAGUAAUAGUUAUUUACUUAAAAACUAAAAAAUUUGGCGGUAAUUUAAUCUUCUCAGAGGAAUUUGUUUCUUAAUCGAUAAACCACGAAGUAUCUUGCUUAUUUAGAAUAAUUAGUUUGUAUACCAUCAUUAUCAGGUAAUUUUAAAAGAAAGAAUUGCUUAAAUUAAUGUUUAUUAAAAAAAUUAGAUCAUGGUGCAGCUUAUGAAUAAGUUGAAAUGGAUUACAAUAAAUUAUUUUAUUUACGGAUUUAUAAAGUAAGAAUUUAUAAUGAAGGAGGAUUUGGUUGUAUUACAAGUUUAAUAAGCUUGUAAGAUAUAUAGGCUCUAAAUUAUGUACAUAUCGCCCGUCGCUUUCACUCAUAGGUGAAAUAAGUCGUAACAUAGUAGAUGUACUGGAAAGUGCAUCUAGAAUUAU
rnacentral:ncRNA from 1 species